AUGCCCAGCAUAUAUUGCACAGAGCCUAGCAUGUAUUGGCUAUAUGAGAAGCCUUUGAGAAACAAAGGAGGAGAGAAACAAAGAAUAAAGGACUCAAUAUUAAGUCCUAUACUCCCUUCCAAGCUGACAGUUUGGAACUGGAUAUUGUACUGGUGCCAAGCAACAUAUUCAUCUUGCACUUUCAACUCAGUAUGUUCCAAACUGAACUUACCAUCUUAUUUUCCAGACCUUACCUAGCUCACCACAUUCCCCACCUUGCUGUCAUGGACUUCAUGACGUAUUUGUAUCUUGGCAAGUUACCAGAGGUCUAACCUGGUGGUCCUAGACCUCGUGUUUCAGAAAGUCCAUGAACUUUUAAAAAUCAUAUAACAUUUUUAAAUGCAUAUGUUCCUGUGAAUUUACUUGAGGAACUGGGUCCAUGGACUUCAUCAGACUGACCAAAGAGUGAGUCCUGUUUCUGUUUCUGAACUAUUAUGGAUGGAAUUGUGUCCCUGAAAAAUUCCUAGGUCAGCGUCCUAAUCCUCCAGCACCUCGGAAUGUGACCUUAUUUGGGAAUCAAGUUAAAAUGAGAUCAUGAGGAAGGGCCUGAAUCCAGUAUGACCCGUGUCAUUAUAAGAAGGAGAAAUUUUGAGAUGGACACACACGUAGGACAACAUCAUGGGAAGAUGAAGGCAGAGAUUGGGGCAAUACUUCUAUUAGGUUGUUGGAGAAGUUAUCACAGUUUUUCUUUUGAAAGUAAUGGCAGACAUCACAAUUAUUUUCAUUACUUUUGCACCAACUUAAUAUAGCUAAGGAAUGCAAAAGAUUGCCAGCAAAUGACCAGAAGCGAGAGGGGAGGCAUGGAACAGAUCUUCUCUCACAGCCUCAGAAGGAACCAGCCCUAGUGACACCUCGAUCUUGGACUUCUAGACUCCAGACUGGUGAGACAACAUAUUUCUGUUGUGUAAGCCACCCAGUUUGUGGUAAUUUGUUGUGGCAGACCAGUAAAUGAAUACAGGAUCUCUACAAAAUACACUCACCUUUCAGGCAGGCCAAGAGGAUUGUUUAAUGUCAGAGCUUCAAGCCCGGAACUUACUUACACACCAAAAAAGGGGCACAGAAGUGGGAGGGAGGGAGGGGCCACUAUCCCAAAGUCCCGGAGCCUCAUCUCCACACAUUCAUGAGAGUCAGGCAUAGGCUUUUAUCUCAUGCCCAGAUUCAGGGGUCCCUCAUCCUGGGCCUGCACCCCCAGAGAAAGUGAGGCCCAGGAACUUGUGAGUUUGUUGUUGCUUGUGUUACCGAAUAUCCAUAAAAUGCAAAAUGGCACCAUGACCUAAUGAAGUAUUAACCCUGCCUCAUCACUGCGCAUCA
rnacentral:lncRNA from 1 species